rnacentral:misc_RNA from 1 species
AAUUAACUUUGACAGUUAAUUGAAGUGCUGUUGAUAUUUUUGGUUAACCGGAAUAAUCGGUAUUUUAUAGCAUUUAGACGGUUUUUUGAACGCGUUUUAAUGUACGACCGUAAUGUACUCGGGUGGAGACUCCACAGACGCGCAGAGUUAUAACCAAUGGGCUUUGAACCCAUCAGCUUACCAAAAUAUGGCAAAGGAGCAAGUCGAUUGGGCCGCUUUGGCCCAACAAUGGAUUAUUAUGAAGGAAGCAGGACCCCCAGUUCCAGAACCACCACAAAUCACACCUCAACAAGGGGUCAAACCCAUCAAAAAAGACAUAGAAGGCGGUGAGGCCCCUAUGGAUGUAGAAAACGAAAACGAAGAAAUUCAAUCACAAUGGAAUGAUGGAACGGGUUCUGGGGAUUCGUGGAAGUGGCAAUCACAACAACAACCACCAUGGAAUUGGGAGGCGAAUUGGAAUAAUCCCGGUUCUUCUAAUAACACUCCUAAACCUCCUUUGCUUCCUACACCUUCAAAUUUUAAUCAGUAUAAUUCAAAUGUUGAUAAUUCAAGUGAUAACUCUAAUUAUGGGUAUAACACAACUUCUAAUUAUCAAAGCGGAUAUUGGACAUCAUCGGGAGGUGCUAAAGUUAUUAAACCGCAUAAUAAACGUUAUAGUAAAGUCAAUGUACCAACCACUGUCGCAAAUACUUCUGUUCCUCCUCCGAAAGUUGUUAAUUUAGAUGCCGCAAAAAGGAAGCAAUUACCCGCUUGGAUAAGAGAGGGUUUAGAAAAAAUGGAACGAGAUAAAUUAAAACAAUUAGACCGAGAGAGGGAGAAACAGGAAAAAGCAGAAAAUGAAGCAAAAAGAAAAUUAUAUGAAAAGAAUGCUUUAGAAAUUUUAAAGGAUACUGUUAAAGAACAACAAGUUAAAAGUCGAUUUGAUUCUGGAUCUGAUGAAUCAGAAGAGGAUAUAGAAGGGCGUUCAUUGACUCCAGAAAUCCAAACAACUUCGCAACCACAAAGGUUAACUCAAGAGGAAAUGAUGGUUUGGGUACGAAGAACAAUGACGGAUAUUCUCCUCAAGGUAACAAACCGCGAAAUCCAGACUAUUUGUAAAGAAGAGUUGGAAAGAUUUGAAAGGAAGCAGAAAGCUUCAGAUCAACGCGUUUCCGCACCCAGUGGUGCCAACCUAAGCGCCAGACUUGGAUUGGGAGCAUACGGGGAGUCGGACAGUGACAAUUCGGAGGGAAAUUCGGAUGAUGAUGAUUCCGAUGCACAAUUAAGGGAGGAGAUUAAACGGAAAAAAGCUGAAUUCGUUAAAGUCGAACGUCAAAUUGAAGAAAAACUUGCUGAAGCCGAACGAAAGAGGGAACUUUUUAAUCAAAAUCGAGGUAGUCCUAUAAACGACAACAAAGAUACACAGAAAAUUCUAAGCGAAAUCGUCGCGUUUCUUCCUCAAGUGAUUCCUUAUCGAAAGACAACAAUAAUCCAAAAUACGUCUCAUCGGACUCCGUUUCGACACCUUCGCGAAGUCGAAGUCGGUCGAAAGAUCGCAAAAAGUAUCGAUCAACAACGGAAAGGCGACGAUCAGACGACCGGAAACGAUUAAGAUCUAGAUCGAAUUCACGAUCACGAAAGUUAUCUUUAAGGCGUGAUCGACGUCUUAGGUCACCUUCAGUUUCAAGGUCACGAUCUAGGUCCAGAUCUAAACAAAGAUCGAGGUCGAAACAAAGAUCAAGAUCUAAUCAAAGAUCGAGAUCUAGACAGAGAUCAAGAUCGAAACAGAGGUCGAGGUCGAAACAACGGUCAAGAUCUAAACAGAGAUCAAGGUCGAGGUCGAAUUCGAGAAGAAGAUCGAGGUCUUACGGAAGAAGGAGAAGGUCGAGAUCGCGGAGAAGAUCGAGAUCAUCAAAACGGAAGAGGUCCCGGUCGCGCAGUAGCGGUAGGGAUUCCUCGGAAUAUUUACAAAAGAACCCAGAGUUUCCAAUGGAAAAAGUGCUCAUUAUUUCAAAGAUGAUGUACAUAUUGACGUUU